rnacentral:lncRNA from 1 species
UCAGCCUCCGCCGGUCACGGCCGCCGCCCCCAGCGACGUCACCCACACGCGCAGAAGCGGACGCCGCGGUCAAGAUGUCUCUGCCAUGCCCACGGGACGCACGGACGCACGGACGGACUCCACAAGGUAGGAAGCCUGCGCCGAGCGCACCGCCGCACCCACCACAGCACACAGGACACACGCGGGCCCCGCGCCCGCCCAGGCACACGCGGCACACACGGCACACACGGCAGGCAGGCCAGGCACACGCAUCCGCAGGACCCGCACCCGCCACGCAGACACGGACGAGCCGCCGCGGUCAAGAUGUUCACCCGCCGCGGUCAAGAUGUAUGUGCCACCGACCCUCGCCCCGCUGGACGGACGGACGGACGCGCGCACGCCGUCAGCGUCCACCGGUCACUGCCGCCGCCCACAGUGAUGUCACCCACGAAAGCACACACGUAGAAGCGGACGCCGUGGUCAAGAUGUCUCUGCCAUCCCCACAGGACGGACGGACGGACUCCACAAGGUAGGAAGCCUGCGCCGACCGCACCGCUGCACCCACCACAGCACACAGGACACACGCGGGCCCCGCGCCCGCCCAGGCACACGCGGCACACACGGCACACACGGCAGGCAGGCCAGGCACACGCAUCCGCAGGACCCGCCGCACCCGCCACGCAGACACGGACGAGCCGCCGCGGUCAAGAUGUUCACCCGCCGUGGUCAAGAUGUAUGUGCCACCGACCCUCGCCCCGCUGGACGGACGGACGGACGCACGCACGCCGUCAGGUGCGCGUGUCGCCGAGGCCGCCAGGACGGAGCGAUUCUCACGGAGGAAGGAGCACGCCAACGGGGCCUGACUGCGUACAGAAAUGUCCCCCUCAAUAAAAUUGCAGUUGAAAUGG